ACACAUCAUGAUCCAAAGGCAACACAACACUGGGUGUGCCUGCCUGCCCGUGUGGGAAGAAGGAAUCCUUUGUCCCUGCUUGUGUGUCUCUCUGAUGUGCUGGUUGUGGUCAGAUCAAUCCACUGCAUUUAUAUCAACAGCGAUGACGCUAUCCAACAACCAGCAACCUCGGUGCCCCCUAGCCUCAGUAAUGUCCAUGGUGCAGAAAAACAAACUGCAAUUCAUAGUUUGAUGUGGGUUCUGUUUCUCAGUGAUAGUUCACUUCCUGAUUGACCCAGAUAAGAUGAAGCCUAUUCAACUACCGCGACCUCUUGGGUUAGGUGUUUCUUUUCUGCCUGGUUCAGUAGUUCAUGACCUCUUGGGUUAGGUGUUUCUUUUCUGCCUGGUUCAGUAGUUCAUGACCUCUAGGGUCUAAGUGUUGAAAAGCCCUGAUCCAAAUGGUGAACAGUCCUCUUAAUAUCUUGAAGCCUUAACGUAUUGAUCGAUCCCUGGACUAUUAUUUCGGACUAAUAUUAAUGAUCUGCUGAACGGAUCUAAACUAAACCAACGCAGUAACCAGGUCUCUUAGGCUGCAGUACCUAUCCCCCUAGUUAGACCCAGAUCUGUUAGGCUGCAGUACCUAUCCUCCUAGUUAGACCCAGGUCUGUUACAUUUACAUUUUUUAGUCAUUUAGCAGACGCUCUUAUCCAGAGCGACUUACAGUAGUGAAUGCAUACAUUUCAUACAAUUUCAUACAUUUUUUGUUUUUUUUUUGUUUUUGUUUUUUCCUGUGCUGGCCCCCCGUGGGAAUCGAACCCACAACCCUGGUGUUGCAAACACCAUGCUCUACCAACUGAGCUACAGGGAAGGCUUGUAGUACCUAUCCCCCUAGUUAGACCCAGGUCUGUUAGGCUGCAGUACCUAUCCUCCUAGUUAGACCCAGGUCUGUUAGGCUGCAGUACCUAUCCCCCUAGUUAGACCCAGGUCUGUUAGGCUGCAGUACCUAUCCCCCUAGUUAGACCCAGGUCUGUUAGGCUGCAGUACCUAUCCCCCUAGUUAGACCCAGGUCUGUUAGGCUGCACUACCUAUCCCCCUAGUUAGACCCAGGUCUGUUAGGCUGCAGUACCUAUCCCCCUAGUUAGACCCAGGUCUGUUAGGCUACAGUACCUAUCCCCCUAGUUAGACCCAGAUCUGUUAGGCUGCAGUACCUAUCCUCCUAGUUAGACCCACGUCUGUUAGGCUACAGUACCUAUACCCCUAGUUAGACCCAGAUCUGUUAGGCUGCAGUACCUAUCCUCCUAGUUAGACCCAGGUCUGUUAGGCUGCAGUACCUAUCCUCCUAGUUAGACCCAGGUAUGUUAGGCUGCACUACCUAUCCCCCUAGUUAGACCCAGGUCUGUUAGGCUGCAGUACCUAUCCCCCUAGUUAGACCCAGGUCUGUUAGCGCUGCAGUACCUAUCCCCCUAGUUAGACCCAGGUCUGUUAGGCUACAGUACCUAUCCCCCUAGUUAGACCCAGAUCUGUUAGGCUGCAGUACCUAUCCCCCUAGUUAGACCCAGGUCUGUUAGGCUGCAGUACCUAUCCCCCUAGUUAGACCCAGGUCUGUUAGGCUACACUACCUAUCCCCCAUAGUUAGACCCAAGUCUGUCAGCUACGGUAUCUAUUUCCACUGGUCUUGUUAGGUCUAUCUGGGAGUGCUUAAACUCCAUACUUCCUGCCGUCUGGGCUCCGGACUUUUUAAAUUUUAUUCCUUGAAUUAAGGGUCCAGGUCAAAUAUUUUCGAUUAUGAACCUCAAGGUAUUUUUAUUCUCUGGACAUUGGAGAAUUUCGUUUUUUUUCUCCCCCCCUCUCUCCAUCUCUCAUUUUCUCUUUAUUUGUCUCUGUCUCUCACAGGGAAUAUUCGGAUGGAAAGGUUGAUGAUCUCUCCCAUGGAAAUAAAUUACCCAGAUUUCCUGAGUUAAUGUCAAAAUGGCUGAGUGAUGGGGGGGGGAUCCCACUAAUGAUGUUAUUCAUAAUUCAUAAACUGUUUCACUGUUACCAAGUCUUGUUACUGUAGAAUAAAGAUCAAAGUGAAUAGCAGACUGUUAUUAGAAGUCAACGUCGUCUCAACCACAAUGACAUCUAUAAUGGUUUCCCAGAAGACCGGACUGGGGCACAAUAAUGUACUGUGGUUAAUCUCCCUGGACUGUGUGGGUCUUCCACCUGGUAAUCUACCCGUGGCUGUGUCCCAAGGGCCUUCCCCCUGGUUAUCUCCCUGGGCUUUGUACCAAGGUAUUUCCACCUGGUUAUCUCCCUGGGCUGUGUACCAAGGUAUUUCCAUCUGGUUAAUCUCCCUGGGCUUUGUACCAAGGUAUUUCCACCUGGUUAAUCUCCCUGGGCUGUGUACCAAGGUAUUUCCACCUGGUUAUCUCCCUGGGCUGUGUAUCAAGGUAUUUCCCCCUGGUUAUCUCCCUGGGCUGUGUACCAAGGUAUUUCCACCUGGUUAUCUCCCUGGGCUGUGUACCAAGGUAUUUCCACCUGGUUAUCUCCCUGGGCUUUGUACCAAGGUAUUUCCCCCUGGUUAUCUCCCUGGGCUGUGUACCAAGGUAUUUCCACCUGGUUAUCUCCCUGGGCUGUGUAUCAAGGUAUUUCCACCUGGUUAAUCUCCCUGGGCUGUGUAUCAAUGUAUUUCCACCUGGUUAAUCUCCCUGGGCUUUGUACCAAGGUAUUUCCACCUGGUUAAUCUCCCUGGGCUGUGUAUCAAUGUAUUUCCACCUGGUUAAUCUCCCUGGGCUGUGUAUCAAUGUAUUUCCACCUGGUUAUCUCCCUGGGCUGUGUAUCAAUGUAUUUCCACCUGGUUAUCUCCCUGGGCUGUGUAUCAAUGUAUUUCCACCUGGUUAUCUCCCUGGGCUGUGUAUCAAUGUAUUUCCACCUGGUUAUCUCCCUGGGCUGUGUACCAAGGUAUUUCCACCUGGUUAUCUCCCUGGGCUGUGUAUCAAUGUAUUUCCACCUGGUUAUCUCCCUGGGCUGUGUACCAAGGUAUUUCCACCUGGUUAAUCUCCCUGGGCUGUGUACCAAGGUAUUUCCACCUGGUUAUCUCCCUGGGCUGUGUACCAAGGUAUUUCCACCUGGUUAUCUCCCUGGGCUGUGUACCAAGGUAUUUCCACCUGGUUAUCUCCCUGGGCUUUGUACCAAUGUAUUUCCACCUGGUUAAUCUCCCUG
rnacentral:lncRNA from 1 species